UAACUCCAGUCAUAUCUGCUAUGACCAGAUUCUUCACCUCUUCAGGAGGGUCCUCCAGCAGCACUACAUGUUCACCUUGCUCCACACCUAGGCUUGCAAGCUUAUCAGCACAUCUGUUGCCCUCCCUUAGUGUAUGUCGCAGGAGGCAAUCGCAUCUUUUCAGCUGGAAUCUUGCAUCUUCAAUCAGAGCUUUGUAUGGAGAAUUGGUAUUGGGACCGUUCUCAAUUCAACUGUUGAG